UACGUAGGGUGCAAGCGUUGUCCGGAAUUAUUGGGCGUAAAGAGCUCGUAGGCGGUCUGUUGCGUCGGCUGUGAAAACCCGGGGCUCAACUGCGGGUCUGCAGUCGAUACGGGCAGGCUAGAGUUCGGUAGGGGAGACUGGAAUUCCUGGUGUAGCGGUGAAAUGCGCAGAUAUCAGGAGGAACACCGGUGGCGAAGGCGGGUCUCUGGGCCGAUACUGACGCUGAGGAGCGAAAGCGUGGGGAGCGAACAGG
rnacentral:rRNA from 1 species